CGACCCCAGGAUGGGCGGGAUGA
rnacentral:rRNA from 1 species